AUUAGCCUUGAGAAUGCAGCUCUUUCUCCUAAUGCCACUUACAUCCGUUGGAAAGUUCAUGGAGACUGGGUUACUCAGCUGAAAUACUAUGAUUCUAUUAAAGCAGUCAUUUCUGCUUCAAGCCAUGAGCCUACAGCCAUAGUAAUAGGUUGCGUUGUGGGAGCAACCAAUGUUGAACAACAGAUGAAGGAAAUAAAAGAACACAGGAAAGAUUCCAAGGCGAGGAAAGCACAGUCGGUCCUAGGAUCUCCCUCCCAUAGAGCUGAGGGGGAUCAGAUUGUUUUUCGAGUCCACAAAGGAGUGAAAACAUUUGCACUUAGCAAAAAGAAUAACCGUCUUGUAACUGGUGGGAUGGAUCGAAUCAUUCGGAUGUGGAAUCCUUAUAUGCCUGGGUAAGAUUUUAUUGCAUUGCUGCAGCUGUUCUUACAAGGUUUUGUUAAACUCUUUGUGCCAUUAGUUAUAAACUAUUAUCAUUUAGAACAAAUAGACUGCUGUGAUUUGUCUUCUGAAAUAUUGCACAGAUAAACCGCAGCUAGAUCAAUAAACUCUUAAUGAAUCCUAGAGUUUCCUGGGACGAGGGAUGGAUUCUUAAACCACUCUGAGAACUGUAACUCUGUGAGGGGGUCUCCUAGCAACACUCAGCACCCCUUAACAAACUAUACAGGAUUAGUUAGGAGGAGCCAUGGCUUUUUAAAGCGGUAUGAUACUGCUUUAAAUGUUUAAUGCCGGCAGAACCUUUGCAUUGACAUCCAGGCCUGUCUGCCAGAGGGUUAUUGACCGUUACGGUGAUUGGAUCCAACUGGUGUCUUAACAUUGCAUGAAAAUCUGAGGCAGGUAGAGUCAAGAACAAAAGAACCACAGCUCAUGCCCGCACGAUACAUGCAAAGCUCUCUUAUACCACCUCAACAGUCAGGACUUCCUGCAAAAGAAUCCUAAGAACUGUAGUUGGUGAGUGUUCUACCCACUCUCAGCACUCUUCACAAACUACAGUUCCCAUUAUUCUUUAUUUUUUUGGUGGUGGUGGGACUGUUGAAGUGGCUUAAGAAUGCUUAAAAUGUAUGAUGUUCUCCACCUCUUCCCAUAGCUGUCAACUUACAGAUUUGAAAAUAAGGGACCAGCAGCCUUGAAAAUAAGGGACCAGCAGCCAA